UGAGCAUCUUAAGAAAAAAAAAUUUAACUAUCAAGAUGCAAUCUCUGCAAGGAAGCUAGCACCUUAGUGAGAUCAAGAAGUUUCUGAUUAGAUUGAAGUCUCAUAUGGAUACCCAUAAAGGUCGGACAUUUGUGCAGCAUCAAGAGACUUUCAGAAGAUAUCCAUGAUCAUCAGUUCAUGGUAUUGAUCGACCCGAGCC
rnacentral:lncRNA from 1 species